rnacentral:lncRNA from 1 species
AAACCAAAACCUAAACCUACUCUCCCUCAGCCGCCACUCUCCCUCCCCACUUUCUUAUUUCUUUCUUUUGCCAUUAGUAGUCGGCAUUAAUUCAAGGCUAUGAGGAAGACAAAGAGGAUCAACAAGAGUGUAUCCUCAUUGCGAUCUCCAUUUAUGGACAAAAUUUUAACUUGUUGGUUCGUCUCUUCCCAGGUGAGAUCAUGUAUCUAUAUCAUAGUAUUUCUGAAUCUUCUUACGCCUACUUGAGUUUGAGUUUUUUAGUUCAAUUUUACGGGUUAUUCCAGCAAUUUGAUAGAUAUUACGCCUUAUUUUUUAUAAGUGGUGAGUGCAAUUUUAAAGAUUUGAUAGAUUUUGUGCCUUACACCUAAUUGACUUGGGUUUCUGCUUCAAUUGUUUGUUUUUGAUUUAUAGGUUGCUCAAGAGAAAAGUGUCUUUGAGAAAUUGUAUUCUCUUCUAAUGCCAAAUUGUAAGUUUUUCUUCCUUUUUUCCACCUUCUUAAGUUUUAUGAUGUUUAUUUAAAUGUUUUUUUUUCUUUUGUGUUGAAACAAGUUUAGAUCUUUUUUGCACCUGAUUCAUGGCUAAGUUUUUGCUUAUUCCAUGAUUCAUUGAAUUUUUAAUUAUUAACUGUAAAUGCAUCUAACUUGUAUAUGUUCUAAUAAUUCAAAUAUAAAUUUCUCAUAAGAUCAUUUUAUUUUAUAUUUCAGUCUAGUGAUUACGGAGAAUGCUUCAUAUAUUAUUGGAUGCAUAAAAAUCAAUGGUUGCGAUGAGGGUGGUAACAUAAAUCAUCAAGAUCAAACGGGGGUGACAACAUGAAUCAUCAAGCAAAUGUUUAUGUUCGUUUAACGUGGAAUGUCGUAUAUUAUUUUUUAUCUCUAUUGCCAUCAAGCCAUACCGGCUAGUUCUUUUCUUCAAAUUUUAUUUAUUUAUUGUAAAAGAGUUAUUCACUGCAGAUACUAUUAAUUGGUUAAUAUAAAU